rnacentral:lncRNA from 1 species
GCAUUCACAUCGACUAUCAUAUUUGUAAUUCAUUUGCCUCAUCAAAUAUCUAAUAAAACACACCUUCCACAGUUUUUCAUUUGGCCACAAUAUAUAUAUACACUUUCACGUUCAUCACAUUGGCCAUUCGGCCUUAUCUCAUAUAUACACAUUCACAUUCAUCACAUAAAAUCCUGAAUCAAAAUAUAAAUUUUCAUAUAUUCACAUCACAAUUAUCCAAAUAUACUUCAUAUCCCACAUAUACUUUCAUGUAUACACUUU